UUCCAGAUGGGUUGUAAUUUCUAGGCAUCAAGCUAAGCUAAAAGGCCCAGCUCCAAGGUAUGGAGAUGGUGCCAAGCAAAAUAAGUAACACAGACGGCUCGAGCAGUUCUCAGCUACGGUGGAGUCUCUGAAGGAACAUAGCUGGCUGGUGCAACAUAGGCUACUUUAUCCUGCAUAUAGUUUGGGCAGAAGCUCCAUAUAGCUCCAUUCACU